AGAGUUUGAUCCUGGCUCAGGACGAACGCUGGCGGCGCGCCUAACACAUGCAAGUCGAACGAGCGAGAGAGAGCUUGCUUUCUCGAGCGAGUGGCGAACGGGUGAGUAACGCGUGAGGAACCUGCCUCAAAGAGGGGGACAACAGUUGGAAACGACUGCUAAUACCGCAUAAGCCCACGGCUCGGCAUCGAGCAGAGGGAAAAGGAGCAAUCCGCUUUGAGAUGGCCUCGCGUCCGAUUAGCUAGUUGGUGAGGUAAUGGCCCACCAAGGCAACGAUCGGUAGCCGGACUGAGAGGUUGAACGGCCACAUUGGGACUGAGACACGGCCCAGACUCCUACGGGAGGCAGCAGUGGGGAAUAUUGCACAAUGGGGGAAACCCUGAUGCAGCGACGCCGCGUGGAGGAAGAAGGUCUUCGGAUUGUAAACUCCUGUUGUUGAGGAAGAUAAUGACGGUACUCAACAAGGAAGUGACGGCUAACUACGUGCCAGCAGCCGCGGUAAAACGUAGGUCACAAGCGUUGUCCGAAAUUACUGGGUGUAAAGGGAGCGCAGGCGGGAAGACAAGUUGGAAGUGAAAUCUAUGGGCUCAACCCAUAAACUGCUUUCAAAACUGUUUUUCUUGAGUAGUGCAGAGGUAGGCGGAAUUCCCGGUGUAGCGGUGGAAUGCGUAGAUAUCGGGAGGAACACCAGUGGCGAAGGCGGCCUACUGGGCACCAACUGACGCUGAGGCUCGAAAGUGUGGGUAGCAAACAGGAUAAGAUACCCUGGUAGUCCACACCGUAAACGAUGAUUAAAAGGUGUUGGAGGAUUGACCCCUUCAGUGCCGCAGUAAUCACAAUAAGUAAUCCCACCUGGGGAGUGGGCCGGCAAGGGUUGAAACUCAAAGGAAUUGACGGGGGCCCGCACAAGCAGUGGAGUAUGUGGUUUAAUUUGACGCAACGCGAAGAACCUUACCAAGUCUUGACAUCCUGCGACGAUGCUGGAAACAGUAUUUUCCUUCGGGACGCAGAGACAGAAGGUGCAUGGUUGUCGUCAGCUCGUGUCGUGAGAUGUUGGGUUAAGUCCCGCAACGAGCGCAACCCUUACUGUCAGUUAUUACGCAAGAGGACUCUGGCAGGACUGCCGUUGACAAAACGGAGGAAGGUGGGGAUGACGUCAAAUCAUCAUGCCCUUUAUGACUUGGGCUACACACGUACUACAAUGGCGUUAAACAAAGAGAAGCAAGACCGCGAGGUGGAGCAAAACUCAGAAACAACGUCCCAGUUCGGACUGCAGGCUGCAACUCGCCUGCACGAAGUCGGAAUUGCUAGUAAUCGUGGAUCAGCAUGCCACGGUGAAUACGUUCCCGGGCCUUGCACACACCACCCGUCA
rnacentral:rRNA from 1 species